UGCUACAUUCUCCAUCAGUGCCUUAUGUUAAAGAAUGUGAUGAGCUUUGCCUGCAGAGAUAGGAUUCCAGGGAAAUGACAAUAACGAAAGAAGAAAGAACAUGAGCUUCCUCCAGAAAUCAUCAAAGAGCCUCCAUGUCAGAAAUGAAGAAGGAAUCUGCAUGUUCAGACAAGAUAGACAUAUUGUCCCGCAGACACCUCCUUCAGCCUCCCAACUUAAGAUCCCAGAUACUGAGAGUACUGCUAAGACAGCCUUUCACCAGGACCAAGUAUGGUUCAGACGCAAAAGAAGAUGGAAGUGGAGGAGAGAAAAGCAGAGGAGGAAGAGGACAACAAGGAGGAAAAGAGGAGAUGAAAGUAGAAAUAGGAGAAAGAGAAGAAGAAGAGGAGGAUGAACAGGAAGCAGAAGAAAAGGGAAAAGAAAAAGAGGGAGAAGGAGAAUGAUAAGAAGAAGACAUAGAGGAGGAAGAAGUGGAGAAGAAAGAAAAUAGAAAGAGGAGGAGAAAGAGGUGAAGAAACAGAGGCUGUAUCUGACCCACAAAGCCUAAAAUAUUUAUUAAUUUACAGUCCCUUACAGAAAAAGUUUGCUGACCUCUCGUCUAGACAAUUAUAGUGAUUUCUAUUUAGGCUUCCUUGUCCAUAAUGCCUCUAACUCCGUGGGUCAGGGGAACAAUGUGAGGCUUCAGAUGCUAAUAGCAUGUCUACUCCAAAUAUGAAUUCCAAAUCGAGAAAAUAAUCACAAGGUUAGUUCAGGGACCCACUGGGCUCACAGCAGGAUGGACCUAAGCCAAAACUCCCCUGAUUAUCUGACUUUCAUAAGUCCCUAUUCUGACUGACGGACUACAGUAACAUUUUAGGUGCCUAAGGAUUAGUGUCAGCUCUGAGCCAGUGACUGACUAAUAAUUCCUUAAAUGUGUGAUUAUUUUCUUUCUGCUAUAAAUGGUCAUUCCAGGAAAUAGAUUCACUUCUCCUUGGGGAAAAUUAGGGUUUGAAGGAAGAUUUACAUUCGAAAUUUUGGGCUGGUAACACAUCCUUGUUCAAGAGGAUCUGGACUCUCCUUCAUUUGGCAGGCUCUGGGUCUGUCAAUUAGCUUAUUAUUGGAAAUUCACUGAGGGGCCAUGAGGUCUCUUCACUAGAUCUAAAGUCUUUUUGCUUAUACAAAUUACUUAAGGCUGCCAUUCUGUUUCAAAGAAUUGGAAAAGGAGGAAUAGGGGCAGGAGCAGGAUCAUAAUUAAACUAAAGCCAAAUACCCAUGCUGGUCAGACCAUUCCAAUAACUGCUUAAUGUCUAUUACCCAUUCCAGCUACCAGGCUUACAUUGUCUUUCACAUUUGGCCACUUGAUUCCUGCCACCUGGGAAUGCCAUUGCUUCUACUGAAUCCAAGGAAUCCAGCCCAUUUAUCAUUUCUGACCUACAGAAAAUAUCUGUCAUAGAACUCUUCAAGAAUGUUAAUGACUCCCUCUUAAAUGUAUUUCUGAGAUAUUUAGAGAAAGAAAUGUACCCUUUAUGGGGUAUCUAGGGGAAGGGUCAGCAGAUCUUGCUAUGCAGAUCCACUCUAGCAUCACAAUGAC
ensembl:lncRNA